rnacentral:rRNA from 1 species
UUAAGAAUCUUGCGCAAUGGGCGAAAGCCUGACGCAGCGACGCCGCGUGGACGAUGAAGGCCUUCGGGUUGUAAAGUCCGAUAAGCAGGGAAGAAUAAGUGUGGGGAAAUAUUCCACAUGAUGACGGUACCUGCCUAAAGCCCCGGCUAACUACGUGCCAGCAGCCGCGGUAAUACGUAUGGGGCGAGCGUUGUUCGGAAUUAUUGGGCGUAAAGGGCGUUUAGGCGGGGAAUUAAGUUAGGUGUGAAAUCCAUGGGCUCAACCCAUGAAUUGCAUUUAAAACUGAUUCUCUUGAGUUCGGGAGAGGAGAGCGGAAUUCCAGGUGUAGCGGUGAAAUGCGUAGAUAUCUGGAAGAACACCAGUGGCGAAGGCGGCUCUCUGGCCUAGAACUGACGCUGAAGCGCGAAAGCGUGGGGAGCGAACA